UUCACCAGCCUUUUUCUUCUCCUUCAUCACCUUUCUCCCAAAGCUGGCUCACCUCUUCUCAUUCAUGAAGAUUUCUUCACUUAGUUGCCUUUUUGCCAAACAACCUGGUUUUAUCUAUCAGGUCACUAAAAUUCCAUACAUACCUGUUCAAUUUGAUAGUUCAGAAUUCGGAAUUAGGGUAUUGUGAAGAAAGAGAAUUUUAAAAGAAUUAGGGUAUUGCGUUGCCACCUCGUUACAAAAAAUUCCUUUUUCUUCCACGCAAUCCAAUACCCAAUAGCCCAAACCCCUCUCCAUCGUCUUUUCGUUUCCUCUGCCUUUUGUUUUUUUAAGAAAAAAAAACAUUACAUUACUCAAAAAUUUAAUUUAAUAUCCUUUUUCAACCUUCUCGUUGUUAUUUCUUUUUGUUCCUUUGGUGUUUCUUCAACCUUUGUUUUAUGUUUCCGCGAACCAAAGAAUCAGCCAAACUAUUUUUCUAGAUUGUUAAGGCUUCAGAAGAAGCUGUGUAUGUCAGAGACCUCUCAGAUGAUUUGCUGCAGCCAACUACAAAACGGUCUCACAAUGUCUCAACCAAGGAAGUCAUAUUCUGGAAAAUUUUUAAGUGCCAACAAUUGAAGUGUUCUCUGCAGCUGCUCUAACACCUGCACUAGCAGCACCAGAGAUGAGAAUGAACUGAGGGAGGAAUCAGAAGCCCUUUGUUGGAGAACCCGAAUAUAUCCCCCUAGAAAGGCUUGCCAGACAAGGCAUCAACAACAAGAUUUGCAUUUGGUUGGGUGGGUUCUUCCCUGUGGUACUGUCAAAUAGCUGGUGAAAAUCUGAGAGUUUUGAUAUGUUUGCCUGCAUUUGGGAAGCUUCACAAAAAAGUAUUGCAGAUGCCUUCUGUGGGUUUGGGUUAUCAAAUGUUGAACUAAGCGAGCUUGUCUUGUCCUGUGCUCCCUUUUUUCUUUGUAUAAACAUUCUUUUUGGAAAAAGGAAUAUAUAUAUUUAGGAAUCAAUUUCUAAAAUGAUUAAUAGGAAGAGUAACUCUUGGAAUCCGUCAUUUCUAUUACAAUAGUCUUGAUAUUACAGAUAAUAAAAUUCAAACCAUGCCAUGGGCAGCGAUUCUUGAAAAGGUUGUCCAGCUACAAAGUUUGCAAUAGCUUUGUGUGGUUAAGGAUCUUUCUGCUCAUGAUGUGGUGAUGCAAUUGAUGCAGAAGGAAAACUACUUGAUCGGAAUGCUUAACAAGGGAGUACUUGCAUUUCCAAUCUCAAAAUGGGUCCCUGGUGCUGGUCCAACUGUCAAAUCUGGUUCAAAGGGAAAGUGCCAUCGUUUGAUACUGACUAAAACCCUUGAGUGGACCUUAAAUUGGUGCAUACUACAGAGCAUGUUUGAUAGUGGAGUUGGAAGGUUUGAAAAAAGCACACAUUCGAGAUGGCGUUGCAGUGGUGCAAUAUCUUGUCUGGUUGGAUAAGCAGGAGAUAUAUGGGGUUCCUGGUUACUUCUUGGAGGGAGACGAAGUGACUAAGAAAAAGCAAUUCAUGUAAGCAUCGACAUAUCUCUCUAUAUUUCCUUUGCUCGGCGCAUUACUCAGUUUACUCACUCCGUGAUGCAUAUUCGGAAACCAUAUAUCCACUUGGAGAUAAAAGUCAGUGGCAUGCUCCAGAUGAUGUCAUAAACCAGGUUGUACUUCCACCUCAAAUUGGCAAACAGUCAGGAAGACCGAGAAAGAAGAGGAUUCAAUCUCAAGGAGAGGAGCGUCAUCAAUAUAGAUGCGGGAGGUGCAAACAGGUUGGUCACAGCAGCCGAUCAUGCUCCGCCGCCGUAUCUCUUGAUAGCACUAACAACCAACAGCACCACUGAAACGAACGCCCAUAAAUGGCAUGAUGCUAUAUUCAGACAAUGAGGCCAUGUUAUGUGGUAUGCGUGUGUAUGAAAUGUAGUCAGGAAUGCAAUUAGUUGGUCAACCGCGUAACGUGUGUUUUGGCGUAAUAGACGUUGGCUUUAUGUGUUCUUUUAUUGUCAAAUUCAUCUGUCGUAUUGAUUUGAUAACA